rnacentral:misc_RNA from 1 species
GAACGCACAUUGCGCCCGCGAGUAUUCUCGCGGGCAUGCCUGUUCGAGCGUCAUUUCAACCCUCAAGCCCCCGGGCUUGGUGUUGGAGAUCGGCGUGCCCUAGGGCGCGCCGGCUCCGAAAUAUAGUGGCGGUCUCGCUGUAGCUUCCUCUGCGUAGUAGCACACCUCGCACUGGGAAACAGAGUGACCACGCCGUUAAACCCCCCACUUCUGAAAGGUUGACCUCGGAUCAGGUAGGACCACCCGCUGAACUUAAG